AGCGAGCGUUCUCAGAAACACACAGGCAUCUGCUUCCCCCUCACAAAGGCACAAGACACCCUGCUCAUAUUAACUUGCUCCUAAACACACACCCACUCUCCCUCCGGCUUCUGCUGGCCUUGUGCGUGCAUAUCACCCCAUUUUACGGACAGAGUCCACAGAGACCGCCCCUGCCCUACCCCCUACCUCUCCUUUCUUUGCUUCUCUCUCUUUCUCCCUCCCUCAUCCCUGGGCACCCGUUUGCCAGGGUUAUUUAUAGAAGCAAGCGAUAAAUUCAGUGUGUUUCUCGGCGCGCAAAGCUAUAAAUAAUGGCACAGAUCAUUAAACCCCGAGAGCAGGCCCAGCCGCCCCGCAAACAAGAUGAAGUGCAAACCACCACGUGAAAGAGAGAGCGGGAGGUACAAGGGAGAGACCCAGGCCCAGGGCCAUUAGGCCCCAGCCUGCACCCCUCAACCCAGGCCCAGUGAACUUGGGCCUCCAAGGCAUUCCCAGCAGAAUCUGGUGUGUCUACAUACAACCUGGAGCCCCUUCACUUGGGAAUGGGCUGGAAGGUGACAACCCAAAAGAACUCACACGAAGCUGCAGCACAGUGUGACAGGUGACAGUAUCUUCAGGACCUCCAUCUCCCCACUUUCUACUCCACAGGAUCAGAGAUGACCUACCAUCCAAGACCCACCCAUGAUAGAACCAGAACAAAUAAAGAAGUGGGCACUGGACAUGAACACCGCGAAGAUAAAGGAUCAUCUCAUUCCCCUCUGUCACUCCCUGCGGUGCCUAGCAUGGACAAUGACACAGCACCAUUAUCUACUGAGGAAAGAAGGGGGACACGAUGGAGCCCAGCUGCUGCAAUGAAGAAAGGCCUCAGUGGAGCCUGAGCUGCUAACACUGUCAUCACGUACCUCCAGUGACCAGAAUUUUGAGAAAAUAAACUCCAUUGUUUAAGCCAUCCA
rnacentral:lncRNA from 1 species